AGGCAUAUAUGAAAAACCCCCUGAGGUAAAUGAUCGAUGGAGGUGUUGGUGUGUUUUUGACACAGGUCACAGACCUGGCACACCAACAAGAUAAGGCGGUGUGUGGGGCCUCCAGCCACUCGGAUACAAGCGCAUUCACAUGACUGUCACCAGCAGAUUACAAGACAAAAAAUCAAACACUGCAUGUUCUCACUCAUAGGUGGGAAUUGAACAAUGAGAACACAUGGACACAGGAAGGGGAACAUCACACUCUGGGGACUGGUGUGGGGUGGGGGGAGGGGGGAGGGAUAGCUUUAGGAGAUAUACCUAAUGCUAGAUGACGAGUUAAUGGGUGCGGCAAUGCUUGAGCGGAGUUUUGAAAGAUAAGUAGGAUUAUAAAACUGAAAAAAACUGGAUGAGGAACAGCAUGUGUCAAGGCACAGAGAUCUGUGGCUGGAGCAUAGAGUGUGUUCCAGAAGUGGCAGGAAGCCAGAGGCAGGUGGCAGAGGACAAUCAGAAAGGGAGCAUGCACUGGGUUGGAAAGCCACUUAGUUUAACCCAUUCAUUUCAUAGACAUAGAAACCAAGGUCCUGUUUCUACCUCUAUAGAAAUGAGUGGGUUAAACUAAGUGGCUUUACCUUAGUUUGGCCGAGGUAAUUAAAAUGUAAUUCAUGCUAGGGUCUUAAUAUUUAUUUGUAUGUCACUUCUUUUCAAACAAGUUCUCAAGAUGACUUACAGAAAAGAAUAUUUG
rnacentral:lncRNA from 1 species